UACGAAGGGGGCUAGCGUUGCUCGGAAUGACUGGGCGUAAAGGGCGCGUAGGCGGUUCAUACAGUCAGAUGUGAAAUUCCCGGGCUUAACCUGGGGGCUGCAUUUGAUACGUGUGGGCUUGAGUGAGGAAGAGGGUUGUGGAAUUCCCAGUGUAGAGGUGAAAUUCGUAGAUAUUGGGAAGAACACCGGUGGCGAAGGCGGCAACCUGGUCCUUGACUGACGCUGAGGCACGAAAGCGUGGGGAGCAAACAGG
rnacentral:rRNA from 1 species